rnacentral:rRNA from 1 species
ACUCAAAUGAAUAGACGGGGGUCCGCACAAGUGGUGGAGCAUGUGGUUUAAUUCGACGCUACGCGAAGAACCUUACCUGGGCUUGACAUUCUUAUGAUCGCUUUGUGAAAGCUUAGCUUUCUGCCCGCAAGGGUAGACAUUUGAACAGGUGUUGCAUGGUUGUCGUCAGCUCGUGCCGUGAGGUGUUGGGUUUAGUCCUCUAACGAGCGCAACCCCUAUUGCCAGUUGCCAUCGGGUAAUGCCGGGAACUCUGGCGAGACUGCCCGGGAUAACCGGGAGGAAGGCGGGGAUGACGUCAAAUCAUCAUGGCCCUUAUGUCCAGGGCUACACACGUGCUACAAUGGCAGAUACAAAGGGUCGCAAAAUCGCGAGAUGGAGCCAAUCCCAAAAAGUCUGCCUCAGUUCGGAUUGCAGUCUGCAACUCGACUGCAUGAAGCUGGAAUCACUAGUAAUCGCGGGUCAGCUACACCGCGGUGAAUACGUUCCCGGGCCUUGUACACACCGCCCGU